rnacentral:rRNA from 1 species
GACGAACGCUGGCGGCGUGCUUAACACAUGCCAGUCGAACGGAAAGGCCCUGCUUUUGUGGGGUGCUCGAGUGGCGAACGGGUGAGUAACACGUGAGUAACCUGCCCUUGACUUUGGGAUAACUUCAGGAAACUGGGGCUAAUACCGGAUAGGAGCUCCUGCUGCAUGGUGGGGGUUGGAAAGUUUCGGCGGUUGGGGAUGGACUCGCGGCUUAUCAGCUUGUUGGUGGGGUAGUGGCUUACCAAGGCUUUGACGGGUAGCCGGCCUGAGAGGGUGACCGGCGACAUGGGGACUGAGAUACGGCACAGACUCCUACGGGAGGCAGCAGUGGGGAAUAUUGCACAAUGGGCGGAAGCCUGAUGCAGCAACGCCGCGUGCGGGAUGACGGCCUUCGGGUUGUAAACCGCUUUCGCCUGUGACGAAGCGUGAGUGACGGUAAUGGGUAAAGAAGCACCGGCUAACUACGUG